rnacentral:rRNA from 1 species
CCUACGGGUGGCAGCAGUAAGGAAUCUUGGUCAAUGGGCGCGAGCCUGAACCAGCCAAGUAGCGUGAAGGAAGACUGCCCUACGGGUUGUAAACUCCUUUUAUAAAGGAAUAAAGUGAGGCAAGUGUGCCUUUUUCUAUGUACUUUAUGUAUAAGGAACGGCACGCUCCGUGCCAGCAGCCGCGCGAAUACGGAGGAUCCGAGCGUUAUCCGGAUUUAUUGGGUUUAAAGUGAGCGUAGAUGGGUUGUUAAGUCAGUUGUGAAAGUUUGCGGCUCAACCGGAAAAUUUCAAUUGAUACUGGCAGCCUUGAGUACAGAUGAGGUGAGUGGAAUUCGAGGUGUAGCGGUGAAAUGCGUAGAUAUAAGGAGGAACUCCGAUGGCGAAGGCAGCCUUCUAGACUGCCACUGACAUUGAGGCUCGAAAGUGUGGGUAUCAAACAGGAUUAGAUACCCGUGUAGUC